rnacentral:rRNA from 1 species
GAUGAACGCUGGCGGCGUGCCUAAUACAUGCAAGUCGAGCGAACAGACGAGGAGCUUGCUCCUCUGACGUUAGCGGCGGACGGGUGAGUAACACGUGGAUAACCUACCUAUAAGACUGGGAUAACUUCGGGAAACCAGAGCUAAUACCGGAUAAUAUAUUGAACCGCAUGGUUCAAUAGUGAAAGACGGUUUUGCUGUCACUUAUAGAUGGAUCCGCGCCGCAUUAGCUAGUUGGUAAGGUAACGGCUUACCAAGGCGACGAUGCGUAGCCGACCUGAGAGGGUGAUCGGCCACACUGGAACUGAGACACGGUCCAGACUCCUACGGGAGGCAGCAGUAGGGAAUCUUCCGCUAUGGGCGAAAGCCUGACGGAGCAACGCCGCGUGAGUGAUGAAGGUCUUCGGAUCGUAAAACUCUGUUAUUAGGGAAGAACAAAUGUGUAAGUAACUAUGCACGUCUUGACGGUACCUAAUCAGAAAGCCACGGCUAACUACGUG